GAUGAAGAACGUAGCGAAAUGCGAUAUGUAAUGUGAAUUGCAGAAUUCAGUGAAUCAUCGAAUCUUUGAACGCAUAUUGCGCUCUCUGGUAUUCCGGAGAGCAUGCUUGUUUGAGUAUCAGUAAACACCUCAACUUCCAUAUCUUUUUUGAAAUGGGAGUUGGACUUGAGUGAUCCCAACGCUUUUCCUCACCGAAAAGUGGCGGGUUACUUGAAAUGCAGGUGCAGCUGGACUUUUCUCUGAGCUAUAAGCAUAUCUAUUUAGUCUGCCUAAAAAACAGAUUAUUACCUUUGCUGCAGCUAACAUAAAGGAGAUUAGUUCUUGUGCUGACUGAUGCAGGAUUCACAAAGACAGGCUUCGGCCGACUUUGUAAACUCGAUCUCAAAUCAAGUAAGACUACCCGCUGAACUUAAGCAUAUCAAUAAGCGGAGGA
rnacentral:misc_RNA from 1 species